GCCUCCGUGCAGUUUCUUCGUUCUUCUGGCGGGCCAAUUCUGCCUGGUGUUGCCGCCUUAGUUCCUCCCUUGAUGUCUCAUGGUUAACUGACCUAAGCAUAGCCUUGGAUGAGAGUCCAUCGGUGGAUACGGGCUUAGCUUUGGCAGCAACCAGUUCACCAGUGGCUUUCACAGCUCCACGGCUAUCUGACCCCCCAGAACUUCCUCCUGUGAGCCUCCGUGCAGUUUCUUCGUUCUUCUGGCGGGCCAAUUCUGCCUGGUGUUGCCGCCUUAGUUCCUCCCUUGAUGUCUCAUGGUUAACUGACCUAAGCAUAGCCUUGGAUGAGAGUCCAUCGGCGGCUACAGGCUUAGCUUUGACCUUCGGCUGCACCUCCUCUUCUUCAUCCUCAUUGAAUGAGUAAGCCACAUCCUUUACAGCUUUAGAACUCAUAGAAGUCACCACUUCUGGAGCAUUUUGACCAAUAACAACUGUAUCAGCAA
rnacentral:lncRNA from 1 species